UCAUCUUGGAAGUUAUACAGCUCACGUAUCACACUUAAUAUUGAAUAUAUAUAAAAAGGGUUUUCCAAAAGGACCAUUUAUAAUCGAAAUACAAAACUUCACACACGAUUUUGAGCACAACAGAGCGCUCAGUGAACAUCACUUCCGGGACCUGCAUCACCGGAGGGGGACAUCUAUCUUGGUCACAAACCAUCUUUGACAGUCUUCGGCAGCAUGGUUGAAUCAGGUGAGCAUAAAAUGGAGUUUAACGUAAUUAAAUAGACCAAUGUUUUUUAACAUAGGAAAAUAGUUCAUUGUAAACAACAGUUAAAUGUUUGUUGUUAUUAAUUGCAAUCAGAUUUGAUUUUAUGAGGUCAAAUUAAGCAUUUCAGUUCUGGGCCAAGGCCAAGGCAUUUAAUUUUUUUUUUUAAAGUUGCAUGGAAGAUUAUAAGUAGCAGUGAUUGUCACACACACACAAGGUGUGGUGAAAUUAUUCUCUGCAUUUGACCCAUCACCCUUGAUCACUAUGCUAGUAAACCUUUUCUUAAUUUUAAACAAGACAGACUAGAGUUCUUCAAAUUGUUUAUACUUUUUCUCAAAUACAAAUAUGUCAAGCUGAUAAGCACUGUGGAGUUGGCAUGUUACUGAUAUUGUUACAUUAGUUCUUUGUUUGAGAAGCUUCAUGUCUGCACUGAUCCUAAAUUUAACAGUUUUUGAAGGGUUUGGUUCUUUGUUUUAUUUCUGUGUCACUGACUUUUUUCAUUUUUAUGUGUGGAUUUGUUAGGCGCAUCAACACAUGAUAUAGACAUCGUGCCCAAAAGAAGAGCGAGACGUAAUCCUGAGGCUGAAGCUACCGAGUUUUUUUGAUCUGGAUGUGACAAGUCUUGUUUUAAGGCCCAGUGGAUCAAUGAUUGGAAAGACACCAACUGUUGAUGUUCUAUCUCAACAUUCUCUAGAUUCAUGUGACCGAUAAACCGACUUCAUCCCUCCAACAGACACCAACUGUUGGGGUUCUAUCUCAACAUUCUCCAGAUUCAGAUGUGAGCGAUAAACCGACUUCAUCCCUCCAACAGAAACCAACUGUUGAGGUUCCAUCUCAACAUUCUCCAGAUUCAGAUGUGAGCCAUUAACUGACUUCAUCCCUCCAACAGAAACCAACUGUUGAGGUUCUAUCUCAACAUUCUCUAGAUUCAGAUGACAGCCAUAAACCGACUUCAUCCCUCCAACAGAUUGACAGCAGGACAAAUCGCUGGAAGUGGGUAUGUCUCAAGCUUCUUCCACUUGGUCCACUCCAAAGCGGGCUGCAAAGGGGAAGAAGUGGAAGCAGUUGAAUGACACAUGUUGCAUUUUGUAACUGGCAACAAAGUACCAGGUAAAAAAGAUUGUGAAGCCUGCCUCCAUAAAGAACUAGUAGCUCUACAGGACAGAGAUUGGCUUGCCAUCAAGUACUACAUCCAUAACAGAAUUAUAUUAAAAAAAGGGGAAAAAAAUGUUUUCCCACAUCUUCUGUGGUAGUUUGAGUAUGUUACCAGCAAUUAAAAAAGCAAAAUAAA